rnacentral:rRNA from 1 species
UACGUAGGGUGCAAGCGUUGUCCGGAUUUACUGGGCGUAAAGAGCGUGUAGGCGGCCAAACAGGUCCGUUGUGAAAACUGGAGGCUCAACUUCCAGACGUCGACGGAAACCGUGUGGCUAGAGUCCGGAAGAGGAGAGUGGAAUUCCUGGUGUAGCGGUGAAAUGCGCAGAUAUCAGGAAGAACACCAAUGGCGAAGGCAGCUCUCUGGGACGGUACUGACGCUGAGACGCGAAAGCGUGGGGAGCGAACAGG